GUUUGACUGGGGCGGUCGCCUCCUAAAAGGUAACGGAGGCGCUCAAAGGUUCCCUCAGAAUGGUUGGAAAUCAUUCAUAGAGUGUAAAGGCAUAAGGGAGCUUGACUGCGAGACCUACAAGUCGAGCAGGGUCGAAAGACGGACUUAGUGAUCCGGUGGUUCCGCAUGGAAGGGCCAUCGCUCAACGGAUAAAAGCUACCCCGGGGAUAACAGGCUUAUCUCCCCCAAGAGUUCACAUCGACGGGGAGGUUUGGCACCUCGAUGUCGGCUCAUCGCAUCCUGGGGCUGUAGUCGGUCCCAAGGGUUGGGCUGUUCGCCCAUUAAAGCGGUACGCGAGCUGGGUUCAGAACGUCGUGAGACAGUUCGGUCCCUAUCCGUCGUGGGCGUAGGAAAUUUGAGAGGAGCUGUCCUUAGUACGAGAGGACCGGGAUGGACAUACCUCUGGUGUACCAGUUGUCGUGCCAACGGCAUAGCUGGGUAGCUAUGUAUGGACGGGAUAAGUGCUGAAAGCAUCUAAGCAUGAAGCCCCCCUCAAGAUGAGAUUUCCCAACUUCGGUUAUAAGAUCCCUCGAAGAUGACGAGGUUAAUAGGUUCGAGGUGGAAGCGUGGUGACACGUGGAGCUGACGAAUACUAAUCGAU
rnacentral:rRNA from 1 species